rnacentral:rRNA from 1 species
UACGUAGGUGGCACGCGUUGUUCGGAUUCAUUGGGCGUAAAGGGUGCGUAGGCGGCGCGGUAAGUCGGGUGUGAAAUCUCGGAGCUUAACUCCGAAACUGCAUUCGAUACUGCCGUGCUUGAGGACUGGAGAGGAGACUGGAAUUUACGGUGUAGCGGUGAAAUGCGUAGAUAUCGUAAGGAAGACCAGUGGCGAAGGCGGGUCUCUGGACAGUUCCUGACGCUGAGGCACGAAGGCCAGGGGAGCAAACGGG